CUCUUAACUAAAUCUGAAAUUCUGUUAUUAUGAAAAUUUGAACUUGCCGAAACUCAGCUUUGUAUAUUAUAUAGUAGAAGCAGCACGAGAGCUGUUACAGCAAUGACCAAACUAAUUCUAACUGAAAUGAUUGUACUAACAUAAAAUGUUAAAUAUACAGUGCUAGUGCAAUGGAAUGGCUGAGUUUCAGAUUGGAUUUUAUAUCCUCUACUGUAUUUUCCUUCUGUUUGGUUUUCAUGAUAUCUUUUCCUAGUUCAAUUACUAAUUCUGGUGAGUGAUGCAGACCCAAUUGCUAGUAGUAGUAAUAGGCCCAAUAUUACUAGAGUCCAUGAAAGCAGGAGGAAGUGUGAUGCACCAGAUCUGUCCCUGUGAGCAAAAUAAAACACCUGCUGAAAGAGUGUGGUGUGGGGUAGGGUAGGUCGGCAAUUAUCUUCUUGGGCUUAGACUGGGAGAGAUAGAGACACUGUAAUUUGUCUGUUUUUCUUCUUCUUCUUGUAGUUUCCAAAACUGGAUCUGAAUUCAUCUUAGAAUUCCAGAAUUAAUCAAUACAAAAGCAUUAAAGUUCAAUUUCCUUCUCUGUAAUUGCUGGUACCUAACAUUUGGUAUUUUGGAACUCUCGGUUCAGGUGCCACCACCAAAGCCGCCGAAUCGGGUUUUAAAGGCGGUGGCUAAGGGGAUGCAAAGGGAUGAGAAGCUGGCAGAAUCAGCAGCGAAUACGAGGGAUUGUGCGGUGGGGUUUCAGACCAAUGGAAGAGCAAAAUCAGAACAAAUAGAAGUUAUAGCACCUGCAAAUUGUAAGGGAGAAUAAAUUGGUUAUUCAGAACAAUCAUUCUGCAAUUAUCUAUGUUUUGUUCCCAUUAGCAAUUGUCAACUUGCAAGAGCUCCAACUUUCACCCAACACUUCAGAUACUAUGGUGGUGUCGUGCUUUCAGAGACCAAAACCAGGCUGUAGAUGCGAGUUUUCUUAAAUUCCAGCACCUUUGACCGAUGGCAAGUGGGUGUUAUUAUAUCUGCCUUAUAUUUCUGCUGACUUACAUGCUGGGAUUUAAAAUUGAGGUUCCCAAGUUUCUGAGUUCAAUAAUAUGAGUGGGAAGCAAGAAUAAAUUUGGUGGUAUCAAACUGCUGGAGACACAUUGAUUCUUUGCAAAUUUGGGUCAAUUGAAAAGAAGAGGCUGAUUCAGUGGUGUCUCAACUACUGGUCGAGUUAAGGACUUGUGGGCUCAUCAUAUCUUUGGUGAUAGAGAAUACUACUGCAUGCUAUUGGUAUCCUGGUCGGAAGAUGAACUAGUACAUGAAUUUCCUAAAUUCCAGCACUUUUGACCGAUGGCAAGUGGGUGUUAAUGUGUUAUAUUUUAUCUGCCUUAUAUUUCUGCUGACUUAAAGAAGUUCGAACCUCGCACAGCUACUAGAGUUACUACUCCAAGUUCCAACCACAACCCACAAGAACAACAUCAUUUAAUCAACCAGGUUCUAUGAGUCUAAAAUUCAAGAGAUUCUUGGAGGGCUUGCUUAACAACUAACAAGGAACCAGAAAAUCGAUUGUGGACAUUGGAAAGUGGUUUUAGGGGUUCUGUUCUGCUUGUCUUAAGAUUUGGGAAGUGGCUUUUCUCACUGCUUGUCUUAAGAUUUGGAAAGUGGUUUUAGGGGUUCUGUUCUGCUCAUUCUAUCCACCUAGUAAUGGACAUUGUGGAUGGGAAUAAAGGUUUAGUAUAUUUGAUUUAGGAUAUGGCUUUUUUCUGGUUUUGCUGAUUUAAGUCAUGUGGGCAAUGUAUGUGAUUUGUAUAAUUUCGAUAAGAUCAAAGACAAGUGAUGAUCAAGUGAAAGGGAAAUUACAAAUAUCUAUAUUUCCAGCA